rnacentral:lncRNA from 1 species
GCCACGCUUUUGAUCAGCCUUGUGACAAUUAGCAACAUAGAUUAGAUGAUUGAUUGGACAUCAACAGAAUAAUCUGUGAUUAUGAAAUAAAUUCUCUUUGGAAAGUAAGAAAGUCUUUCCUAAAUUCAAAUGAUCAUUCUUAUUUUAGCUCCUUCUUUUAAAAGUCUGAGACAACUGAACGAAACUCAGCUUUCAAAAAGCCAAGGACGUCUUUGAAAUUUCAUUCUACAUUCCUGGAUUACUGAUGCUGCCUCUCUAUCAGAGCUCUUUAUCCUUCCUUCCCUUUUUGCAGACUUCAAAUCAGCCUCAGUUUUCUUCAAUUAUCCUUUUGCCUCUCCUUGCCUAGAAGAAACUCCGAAAAUUUUUUGCAUAUUUGAUGGAUAAGAUGGAAAGGACGGUAGGUGAGGAAAUACAGCAGCUAAGAUGACAAGCCAGCUCUCCACUGACCACACAGGCACAUCUCUAGCAAGGGACAGGAAGACAGAAGAAUGAAUGCAACAGGACCGCUAAGAAGUAAAGACAGUCUUCAGCUAUGCAAGAAUAGCAGCUAGAAAUAGACAAACUGAAGAAGAGUUUAUGGAAGGAGGAGCUGUUUUGUCCAGAGAGCAGCCUGGUAGUUUUCCGUUUUCAAAUGCUUGGCUUUCAGGGCUCUGAUGUUUCCCUGCACAGUUGUGUCCAAUCAUGACAGAGACAAGGGAAACAGCCAAGGCUACAAUAUCAGCACAGUACAAGAGAAUCAGGCAUCCAGUGAGCGGAGAACCACAGGGAAAUAUCGGACCGUGCGCUAAUCCAUGAGCACCCCAUCAUCUUCUCUGAGCAUCAGAGCUCCCUUGGCUUCAGGUCUUGUUAGGAAAUUAAAUUUGAAGUUGCUCAGCUCUGCCAGUGCUUGAUCCCUUCCAGACACUUUCCACUCCCGCUGCAGAAAGCUUGAGGAUGGCUGGGAAAGGUGGGAGAGGAGGGAAUGCCAUGGGUGGGACUGUCAUGGAGAGAUGGAUCCCAGCAACUCUGCAUUGGUGAUUCUUUGCACGGAAGCCUAGUAUGUGGACCUCUAGUCUGUGGAGAAGGGCAGACAGAAGGCCCCUUCUAUUUUCUCAUCGAGAUGGCAGAGGCUGUGAUGAGACUGUCAUUGGGAAUAUUGAUUACAUGGCUACUGCUCCAAGGACAGGGCUGGGAACUCUGAUACAACUGACAGCCAAGCCAUUCAUGGCUCAGGUGGAAGUGGUCAGGAGAACAGCUCACCUGGACAUUUCCAAUUUGCAAAGG